rnacentral:rRNA from 1 species
UUCGUAGGUGGCCAACUAAGCCAGACGUGAAAUCCCUCAGCUUAACUGGGGAACUGCGUCUGGGACUGGAUGGCUUGAGUGUAGGAGAGGAACGCGGAAUUCCAGGUGUAGCGGUGAAAUGCGUAGAUAUCUGGAGGAACACCGGUGGCGAAGGCGGCGUUCUGGACUGCAACUGACACUGAGGAACGAAAGGCCAGGGAAGGCAAACG